GAAUAAGACGUACGUGUCUAAGUACAUACCUUAAGACGGUGAAAUAGCGGAUGGUCCAUUAAAUCAGAUAUAUUUUCUUAGAUCACAUAUACGACACAGACAGCGACAGUAAUUCUAGAGCUAGUACAUGCAGUUAUGCUCCGACGCAUAAGAUAACGGCUGCAUUUUACUAGAACAGAACCACCUGGUGGAAGUUUCAGCUGCCUCUCCUGCAUACUAUGAUGACUUUGGAUAUUUUUAGUGAUUCCAGUCGGCUUAGUGUCGGCUACGAAUUCUUCAAUUGACUGCUAUAUCCAUUUGUUGAUAGUUGAUCUAACCACUAUGAUAAUAACAGAAAACGGGGAUUCAGGAUUUGAUUUCAGAGAAGCAGCCUGAGAAAUUGACACCGCAUCUAAUGACGGUAGCAGACGC
rnacentral:ncRNA from 1 species